rnacentral:rRNA from 1 species
CUACGGGCGGCUCCAGUGAGGAAUAUUGCACAAUGGGGGGAACCCUGAUGCAGCAACGCCGCGUGGAGGAUGACGCAUUUCGGUGUGUAAACUCCUUCUAUAUGUCAAGAAAAUGACGGUAGCAUAUGAAUAAGCACCGGCUAACUCCGUGCCAGCAGCCGCGGUAGUACGGAGGGUGCAAGCGUUACUCGGAAUCACUGGGCGUAAAGGACGCGUAGGCGGGUUGGAAAGUCAGGUGUGAAAUCCUACAGCUUAACUGUAGAACUGCACUUGAAACUUCUAAUCUAGAGUAUGGGAGGGGGAGAUGGAAUUAGUGGUGUAGGGGUAAAAUCCGUAGAUAUCACUAGGAAUACCUAAAGCGAAGGCGAUCUCCUGGAACAUUACUGACGCUAAGGCGUGAAAGCGUGGGGAGCAAACAGGAUUAGAUACCCUUGUAGUC